AAGAUUUUAAGUUAACAUAAAUUAAACUAUUAACCUUCAAAGUUUUUUAUAUUUUUUUAAAUAAAAUAAAUCUUA
rnacentral:tRNA from 1 species